UUACUGGUCCAUGCCUGAUGACUUCAUAAUCACACAUCAUUUCAUUCACUGGAGGAUACAAACCAGCAUUCUAAUAACCUUCCCCCGAAACCGGUCAUGUUGUGCAUAUUAAUAGAGUGCUGGGUAGAGCUCAACCAGCGGCUCCACACUGCAAUUCGAGCAGAGCCUGCAAGAAGGAAACAACCUGAAGCUAAGAACUUCUGCCUGAGGAAGGAGUCAGCUCAAACCAGAUCAAUGGCAACAUUAUUCAUUUUGCCAAAAUAAACUCUGCAUGAGGCUCGUACCUUUCACCAAGCGACCCUUGAACAACAGCAAGCAAGCAGAGAUAAAGGACAAAGCAGGAUGAAAAAUCAAUGAAAGAACGGUGCUGCUGGACCUGGUGAUAUGCAAGACAAAAUUCUGAAACAAACAGGAACACCGGGCAAGUUGAUGGCUAUGCUAUAGACUUGACAUCUCUUAAGAGCCAAAAAACUAACAGCUGGUGACAUUCCCAAUGGAAAGUGCUGGGAGGAGUUUGACAAAGAAUGUCAUCCAAAAUCAAAGUGGCUCAGUAAAGCUUACCCUUACCUGAAAACAGUAAGUAAGAUGGAGAACAAGGGGACAGCUCAUGUCUCCAGGUCCAUCUGAGCAUCUCUCUUCCCUUCCCUGUGCUAAAAUUCUGUCUGAGUGAAGCCAAAACCACAGGGAACUCUGGUGGGCAGCAUGAACCAGCCCCUAAACCUCUUCUAGUCCUCAAAUAAAACCAGCCGCUCAUUGACAAGGAUGGGAAAGCAAUGGGGCUUUGCUUGCACUUGUUUGUGCCAUAAUUACACAUCUAAAAGGCUCAGCUCAACACAUGGGAACUAGAACACAAUAGGGAUAAGAUUUAUCAAAGAAACUUCACAAGAAAGGGUAGUCCAAGAUGGCAAAAGGUGGUACUGCUUGUGAGCAGGGAAUUUCCGCAGACAGGAUGAAGUGCAGCAGAGGCACAUUCUAGUGAACUUCUGAGAAGAGUUUUUUAAAAGUGCAUGGCACAUGUAUCAGGGAUCUAAUUGCUACAUAAGUUAUAUAGGCUGAAAGGAUGUCAGGAUGUAUAUUAACAGAUUUUAAUCAGUUUGUUGAAAUCAGUGAAGGAAUCAUGCCAACAGUAAUAUGAAUUUUAAUCCAUAAAAAAUACAAUACAUAAUUCCUGAAGCAUUUUCUACAGCAAACGACUCCAAUGAAGAUUUAGUUAUAUUACAAUUCUUAACCCCCUAAUAUACAGAAGCAAAGUUAACAAUAAAAUAUUAAAUAUAAUUCAAAAGUAUGUAAUGUAUAAAUUAGGAAAUUUAUCUUGCAAAAAGUAGCUUUGAUUAAUUCAGUCGCUAAAAAUCAGACAAGCACCAGUGUUUGGAAAGAGAGCUAGAAAUUAAUGAACAAAA